rnacentral:rRNA from 1 species
GACGAACGCUGGCGGCGUGCUUAACACAUGCAAGUCGAGCGGAGCGGCGAACGGGUGAGUCACGCGUGAGUAACUGCCCACCUCUCUGGGAUUACAGUUGGAAACGGCUUCUAAUACCGGAUAGUGGGGGAUGACUCGGGUCCUAUCAGCUUGUUGGUGGGGUAGCGGCCUACCCAGGCGACGACGGGUAGCCGGCCUGAGACGGCGACCGGCCACAAUGGGCUGGGAUACGGCCCAAAGUCCGACGGGAGGCAGCAGUGGGGAUGAUUGGCCAAUGGGGGAAACCGUGAGGGAGAAGCGUCGGGUUCGGGAUGACGGCUUUCGGGUUGUAAACCGCGUUCAGCCAUGACGCGGUAGUGACAGAAGAAGCACCGGCUAACUACGUGCCAGCAGCCGCGGUAAUAC